ACUGGAAUAGCGCAGUUGGAAGAGAGGUAGAUUAUAGAUCGAAAGGUCCCUGGUUCGAUCCCGGGAUUAGCA
rnacentral:tRNA from 1 species